rnacentral:rRNA from 1 species
UGGGGAAUUUUGGACAAUGGGCGCAAGCCUGAUCCAGCAAUGCCGCGUGUGUGAAGAAGGCCUGCGGGUUGUAAAGCACUUUCAGUAGGGAAGAAAAGCCUGAGGUUAAUACCCUCAAGUCUUGACGUAACCUACAGAAGAAGCACCGGCUAACUCCGUGCCAGCAGCCGCGGUAAUACGGAGGGUGCGAGCGUUAAUCGGAAUUACUGGGCGUAAAGCGCGCGUAGGUGGUUUGGUCAGUCGGAUGUGAAAGCGCAGGGCUUAACCUUGGAAUUGCAUUCGAUACUGCUUAACUAGAGUAUGGUAGAGGUAAGUGGAAUUUCCGGUGUAGCGGUGAAAUGCGUAGAUAUCGGAAGGAACACCAGUGGCGAAGGCGACUUCCUGGGCCAAUACUGACACUGAGGUGCGAAAGCGUGGGGAGCAAACAGGAUUAGAUACCCCCGUAGUCC